AUGAUGUUUCUCUACCUGAAAGACCAACACCCGGUGAUCUGCUGGAGGAACAACACAGCAAGGCACAAGCAAUCCAGGAGGUCCCUGCAGAGCACUGAUGAUAACUUUCUCACACAGGUGAUAGAGGAGCCAAUGAGCAGAGGUGCACUGCAGGACCUUGUACUAACAAACAAGGAAAGGCUGGUUGGAGAUGUCAAGGCUGGGGGCAGCCUGGCCUGCAGUGACUGCAAGACGGUGGAGUUCAGGAUCCUGAGAGGAGGAAGCAGGGCAAAAAGCAGGAUCACAACCCUCGGCUUCAGGAGAGCUAACUGUGGCCUCUUCAGGAACAUUCUUGCAAGAAUCCCAUGUGGUAGGGCCCUCGAAGGAAGAGGCGUCCAAGACAGCUGGUUAAGAUUCAAGGAUCACUUCCUCCAAGCUCAAGAACGGUGCAUCCCAACGACCAAGAAGUCGAGCAAAGGGGGCACGAGACCUGCACGCAUGAACAAGGAGCUCCUGGCAAAACUCAAACAGAAGGAGGAAGUGUACAGAAGGUGGAAGCACGGACAGGCCACUUGGGAAGAAUAUAGGAACAUCGCCAGAGCACGCAGGGAUGCGACAAGGAAGGCCAAGGCCCAUUUGGAGUUUAAUCUGGCAAGGGAUGUCAAGGACAGCAAGAAGCGCUUCUUCAAAUACUUCAGCAACAAAAGGAAGGCUAGGGAAGAUGUGGGACCACUACCAAAUGGGGCAGUGGUCCUGGUGACGAUGGAUACAGAGAAGGCAGAGAUACUGAAGGCCUCCUUUGCUUCAGUCUUUGCUGCUAAGACCAGCCCUCAGGAAUCCCAGAACAUGGAGACCAGGGGGAAAGCCUGGAGAAAGGAAGACCCUCUCUUGGUGGAGGAGGAUCAGGUUAGAGAUCAUUUAAGAAAACUUGACAUCCACAAGUCCACAGGCCCUGAUGGGAUGCACCCACGAGUGCUGAGGGAGCUGACAGAUGUCAUUGCUAGGCCACUCUCAAUCAACUUGGAAAGGACAUGGAGAACAGGAAGGGUGCCUGAGCACUGGAAGAAAACUAAUGGCACUCCAGUCUUCAAAGAGAGGCAAGAAGGACGACCCAGGGAACUACAGACCAGUCAGCCUCACCUCCAUCCCUCGAAAGCUGAUGGAACAGCUCAUCCUGGAUGCCAUCUCUAA
ensembl:lncRNA